rnacentral:rRNA from 1 species
AAGGGCCUUUCGGGGCACUGGCGCACGGGUGAGUAACGCGUAGGUAAUCUGCCUUUAUCCGAGACAUAAUAUCGGGAAACUGGUACUAAUAUCUCAUGAGGCCGAGAGGUCAAAGUUUAAUACGGAUAGAGAUGAGCCUGCGUCUGAUUAGCUAGUUGGUAAGGUAAUGGCUUACCAAGGCAACGAUCAGUAGCUGGUCUGAGAGGACGAUCAGCCACACUGGAACUGAGACACGGUCCAGACUCCUACGGGAGGCAGCAGUGAGGAAUUUUGCGCAAUGGGGGAAACCCUGACGCAGCGACGCCGCGUGCGGGAUGAAGGAGCUUUGCUUCGUAAACCGCUGUCGGAUAGGAAGAAAAACGGUAAGAACCGUCGGGACAGUACUAUCAAAGGAAGCACCGGCUAACUACGUGCCAGCAGCCGCGGUAAUACGUAGGGUGCGAGCGUUGUCCGGAAUUACUGGGUGUAAAGGGUGCGCGGGCGGAUUCGCACGUCGAAGGUUAAAGACCUUGGCUUAACCAAGGAGAUGCCCUCGAUACGGUGAGUCUUGAAUAUGAGAGAGGAUGGUAGAAUUCCUGGUGUAGCGGUGAAAUGCGUAGAUAUCAGGAGGAAUACCGGUGGCGAAGGCGGCCAUCUGGCUCAUUAUUGACGCUUAGGCACGAAAGCGUGGGGAGCGAACAGGAUUAGAUACCCUGGUAGUCCACGCCCUAAACGAUGUAUGCUUGGUGUUGGGCCUUACGGGGUUCAGUGCCGAAGAAAACUCGAUAAGCAUACCACCUGGGGAGUACGAUCGCAAGGUUG